AGGACGAACGCUGGCGGCGUGCUUAACACAUGCAAGUCAAGGGGGAGUCGCAAGACUCAACCGGCGAACGGGUGCGUAACACGUGAGCGACCUACCUAAUUGUGGGGGAUAGCCGGCCCAACGGCCGGGUAAUACCGCAUACGAUCGGAGAGGGGCAUCCCUUUCUGAGGAAAGCCUUCGGGCGCAAUUUGAGGGGCUCGCGGCCUAUCAGCUAGUUGGCGGGUAACGGCCCACCAAGGCGACGACGGGUAG
rnacentral:rRNA from 1 species